rnacentral:rRNA from 1 species
CAGCAGCCGCGGUAAUACAGAGGGUGCAAGCGUUAAUCGGAAUUACUGGGCGUAAAGCGCGCGUAGGUGGUUUGUUAAGUUGGAUGUGAAAGCCCCGGGCUCAACCUGGGAACUGCAUCCAAAACUGGCAAGCUAGAGUAUGGUAGAGGGUGGUGGAAUUUCCUGUGUAGCGGUGAAAUGCGUAGAUAUAGGAAGGAACACCAGUGGCGAAGGCGACCACCUGGACUGAUACUGACACUGAGGUGCGAAAGCGUGGGGAGCAAACAGGAUUAGAUACCCCCGUAGUCCCUGUCUCUUAUAU